CGGGCAGUCGCUGUCGGCUCCGACGGAGAGUCAGUUGAGCCCGGGGUCGGGCCCGCCGCGGACGGCUCCGGCCAGAGGAGGGUGUGAGAAGGUUGUCUGGUGGACACUGGAUUUAGAGACCCACGGAGGAGUCUAUUACAUCUCCAUUACUGGAGCUUCUCCACCCACCAACGCUCAAUGGACAUAGAUGACGUCACCCUGCUUACGUCACAAGUAUGACGUGCAUCGCAGCCGAAAGGUUAUCAUCAACGGCAGGGCGGAGGCGAUGGAUCAAAUAUGUGCCGGCUACGAGCUCAGAAUUCUGAGUAUCCCCGAGGCCCAGCGCACGUCUCGUGAUGUUUUCUAAGUCUGAAAGACGUUAGGGUUCUUUGUUGACGAAUUCUAAAGGAGGACGCUGCUGUGAGAAUGGAAAAUAUGACAGGCAGUGACAAAACGAGCCAAAACACGGCGCGUUGUGCGUCCUAACUACCUCACUGACGUACCGACAGAGGCAGCUCCCAACUCGCCAAUAGAUCACCCAGGAGCGACGCAACAGUUGACGGACUAAGUCGGCAGCGACGAGAGAGAGGGAGAGAAAAAGAGAGGCGCUUUUUCACCUCCCACGCCACACUGCAGCCCUCCCACUCCCCGCUCAGCAGUCGAUCGAACGGCCUGUUGCAUCUAUUCGCCGCUGCGUUGUCAAUAGUGCCCAGACUACGUCACCGGCUCAAAUCAGUCGCUGAUUGGUGGAAAAGUGCUGAUGGACGAUUGCGAAUCGGCGCCUGAACGAGCAUGAUUGUGUUUAUUCAAAUUGAGCAAUGAAAGCGUCACAAUAAGCGCAGCGUGUCAGUUCCAAUUCCACAGCACAUUCACUGGACCAUGAUUCCGGUUUUUACUGCAGUGUGAAUAAUUUCGACAUCCAGGAAACACUCAUCGCCGUAAAACAGCGGGUUUUCAGCUACAAAGAAGUGGUGUGUACACCAGCGAGAACAUUUGCGGUCUGUGGCAAAAACGGAGCGACAAAAGCAAGACAACAAGAAGGCUGCACCACUGCGCCAGAGACAACCUCUCUUCGACGGGUGGUACUGGCUUUAGUAGAAAGCACUCGGAACGAAAAACUCCUUCGGCUUUCUUCGCAGCGAGUCGCGAUGAACGCAGUGCGUGAUUUGAUGCUGAGCUUCGAUGCCGUGUUCUUCUGUCUGCUGCUGCUGGCGUGUCUGCUAGCACUGGGAUUCUAUCUGCGGAAACCAGAGAGCACGGCAGGUGAGUAUAUCGAGGUCGUCACGCAGCCCACAGGUGAUGUGUAUGAAUUGUGAGCUGCUGGGGGUGUUGCUAAAAAAAGACGUUCGGAACCGCAUGAGUGAGAACUCAAAGUGAGAACUGGGAGUAAGGACUCGGCACGAAACCUUGGAGUGAGAACUAGGAGUGGGGGGUCACCGUGAAAAGUUGAAGUGAGACUCGGAGUGAGAGCUCUGAUUUACGGCGCAGAGUGUGAUCUCGGGUCGUGAACUCGAAGUGAACUCUCGCAGAAAGCGGACGGUGUGACAAAAACUCGAGUCGUAAAAGACAGUGUUUUUUGUCGGAGCUCCGGUUCAGAAAAAGGUGCAAUGUCGGGCUCUUAUGAACAGAGGCGGGUUGUGAUGGAAUAUCGACGAACAUUCGAUCCCUGUGGGUGUCGAGAUAGACUAAUCGAAACCGACGGAAGGUUUCGCCGACGACGGCGCGUCCUCUCGCAGCCUGCCCGUCGAUCAGUGUAUUGCGGUGCAGCAGACCACGCAGGCGCUGUACUGGUGCUGACAUCUGCCGGCCAGCAACAUAAGUGGUGUUUGUGAUAUCAUCCGCGAGAUGCCGGGUGCUGACAGGCUGAGAGCACCCCGUGUUUUAGUAACUGGACCGGUGUUAGAAUAGCAUUGCCAUUGUAUUUGUUACGGAAUCGCGAUGCAUUUCUAAUGAGUGAGCGCAUGCAUACAUGAAUGAAUGAAUGAAUGAAUGAAUGAAUGAAUGAAUGAAUGAAUGAAUGAAUCAUGAAGAAAGGAAGGAAUGAAAGAAGGAGCAAGCGAAUAUAAGACUAUGUAUGAAGAAAUGAAUGAAUGAAUGAAUGAAUGAAUGAAUGAAUGAGUGAGUGAAUGAAUGAGUCAAUGAAUAAAUGAAUGAAUGGAGGAUGAAUGAAUGGACGUGUUUCCGUGCAGUGUUCGCUCAGCUCUUCCACAAGCGUGCUCAGACUAUUCACGUUCGCUGAUUGUCACGACUUUCGCACUGUCGGUUGGAAUAAAUGGAUAACAGCGUUGCUCAA